rnacentral:rRNA from 1 species
AGUAAAAGUCGUAACAAGGUUUCCGUAGGUGAACCUGCGGAGGAUCAUUAUCGUACAACUGAGGUGCGAGGGCUGUCGCUGACCUUCAUAGGUCGUGCACGCCCGAGUGCUCUCACAUGUCCAUCUCACCCAUGUGCACCACCGCGUUGGGCCCCCCUUUGGCUCGUUCCGAAGGGUGGUUCACGCUUUCAUACAAACACCCCUUUGAUGCAGUGUAGAAUGUCUUUUAUUUUUGCGAUCGCACGCAAUUCAAUACAACUUUCAACAACGGAUCUCUUGGCUCUCGCAUCGAUGAAGAACGCAGCGAAAUGCGAUACGUAAUGUGAAUUGCAGAAUUCAGUGAAUCAUCGAAUCUUUGAACGCACCUUGCGCCCCUUGGCAUUCCGAGGGGCACACCCGUUUGAGUGUCGUGAUAUCCUCAACCUUUUUGAUUUCUUAAAGAGAUCAGAAAGGCUUGGACUUUGGAGGCUUUUGCUGGCUCAUCUCAUAACCAGCUCCUCUUAAAUGAAUCAGUGGGGUUUGCAUCGCCGAUCCUUGACGUGAUAAGAUGUCUUCUACGUCUNGGGUUUCGCUCAGAACCCACUUCUAAUGCUCGUGCCUUCUUCACCUUUCAAAGGGUGUGGGGUGGCCUGACCGACGAAACCUUGACCUCAAAUCGGGUGAGACUACCCGCUGAACUUAAGCAUAUCAAUAAGCGGAGGAAAAGAAACUAACAAGGAUUCCCCUAGUAACUGCGAGUGAAGCGGGAAAAGCUCAAAUUUAAAAUCUGAUGGUCUUUGGGCCAUCCGAGUUGUAAUUU